UAAGGAAUAUUGGGCAAUGGGCGCAAGCCUGACCCAGCCAUGCCGCGUGCAGGAUUGACGGCCCUAUGGGUUGUAAACUGCUUUUGUAUGGGAAAAAACCCCCGGUCGUGUACCGGGGCUGAUGUUACCAUAAGAAUAAGCAUCGGCUAACUCCGUGCCAGCAGCCGCGGUAAUACGGAGGAUGCAAGCGUUAUCCGGAUUUAUUGGGUUUAAAGGGUGCGCAGGCGGAACGGUAAGUCAGUGGUGAAAGCCUACAGCUCAACUGGAG
rnacentral:rRNA from 1 species